rnacentral:lncRNA from 1 species
UUCUUUAUUGGAUGAAGACCGCAAAACUUAAGAGUUUCAUUUUUCUUUUUUCCAGAAAUGCAGUGAGGAUUCUAGAUUCCAGUUUUAAACCAGGAAUCCCCCGAGGGGAACGGGUGGCAACCAGCAGGCAACAAUGUCCCAACUUCAAAUUGUAGUUGAAUCGAUUUUUAACUUUCUAAUGCAAUGCCACGAUUUUCAUACAGAUUGUUACCUUG